rfam:Schizophyllum commune H4-8 unplaced genomic scaffold SCHCOscaffold_1, whole genome shotgun sequence.
GCCCUGCUAGCUCAGUGGUAGAGCGUGUCACUAGUAAGCAUCAGCUUCUAUGACAAGGUCAGUCGUUCAAGUCGGCUGUGGGGCA